GGGGCUAUAGCUCAGAUGGGAGAGCGAUUGGUUCGCAAUCAAUAGGUCAGGGGUUCGAUCCCCCUUAGCUCCACCA
rnacentral:tRNA from 3 species